UACGUAGGGGGCGAGCGUUGUCCGGAUUUACUGGGCGUAAAGCGCGUGUAGGCGGGAGAUUAAGUUGGGUGUGAAAGCCCGGGGCUCAACCCCGGGAUGCCGCCCAAGACUGGUCUCCUUGAGGACGGAAGAGGGGAGUGGAAUUCCUGGUGUAGCGGUGAAAUGCGUAGAGAUCAGGAGGAACACCAAUGGCGAAGGCAGCUCACUGGGACGGUAUUGACGCUGAGACGCGAAAGCGUGGGGAGCGAACAGG
rnacentral:rRNA from 1 species